rnacentral:rRNA from 1 species
GGUGUUGUGCUUAUCGACCCGUGCAAUGAAUGAAACUUAAAGGAAUUCAAUGCAAAGUGAAGAACUUUACCAAGGAUUGACGUGUCAUGAAUCCUCUUCAAAGAGAAUGGUGCCUUUGGGAACACAGACACAAGUGGUUGAUAUCUGUCAUUAGCUCAUGUUGUAAGGUGUUAGGUUAAACCCACAACAAGUGCAACCCUCGUGUUUAGUUGCCAACAUUUAGUUUGGAACCCUGAGUAGAGUGUCGAUGAUAAGCCAAGGGAAGGUGAGGAUGGCGUCAAUUCAUCAUGCCCCUUAUGCCCUGGGCGACACAUGUGCUACAAUGACAGAACAAAGGAUCGCGAUCCCACGAGGGUGAGCUAACUCCAAAAAUUUGUCCUUAGUUUGGAUUGUAGGCUACAACUCACCUGCAUGAAGCUGGAAUCGCUCGUAAUCACCAGUCAGCCAUACGACGGUGAAUUCAUUCUCCAGCCUUGUACACACCGCUCGUCACACUAUGGGAGUUGCCCAUGCCAGAAUUCGUUACCUUAACCACAAGGAGGGGGAUCUGAAAGGCAGGGCUAGUGACUGGAGUGAAGUCGUAACAAGGUAGUCGUAUUGGAAGGUGCAGCUG